rnacentral:rRNA from 1 species
GGACUACAGGGGUUUCUAAUCCUGUUUGCUCCCCUAGCUUUCGCGCCUCAGCGUCUGGUUUGGCACAGAAAACCGUCUUCACCACCGGUAUUCUUCCACAUAUCUACGCAUUUCACCGCUACACGUGGAAUUCUGUUUUCCCUUACCAACCUCUAGCCAAGUAGUUUUAAAUGCAGCUCCGGGGUUGAGCCCCGGAAUUUCACAUCUAACUUGCUCGGCCGCCUACGCGCCCUUUACGCCCAGUAAUUCCGAUCAAUGCUUGCACCCUCCGUAUUACCGCGGCUGCUGGCAC